rnacentral:misc_RNA from 1 species
GAUGAAGAACGUAGCGAAAUGCGAUAAGUAGUGUGAAUUGCAUAAUUCAGUGAAUCAUCGAAUCUUUGAACGCACAUUGCGGCCAUAGGUAUUCCUUUGGCCAUGCCUGUUCGAGCGUCAUUUACACCCUCAAGCCUAGCUUGGUGUUGGGCGCCUGUCCCGCCGUUUUCGCGCGCGGACUCGCCUCAAAGUCAUUGGCGGCGGUCGUGCCGGCCCCCUCGCGCAGCACAUUUGCGCUUCUCGGAGGCCCGGCGGAUCCGCGCUCCAGCAAGACCUUUCACGACUUGACCUCGGAUCAGGUAGGGAUACCCGCUGAACUUAAGCAUAUCAAUAAGCGGAGGA